rnacentral:rRNA from 1 species
AAGAGAGCCGUAACACAGGUGCUGCAUGGCUGUCGUCAGCUCGUGUCGUGAGAUGUUGGUUAAGUCCCGCAACGAGCGCAACCCUUGUCAUUAGUUGCUACAUUCAGUUGGGCACUCUAAUGAGACUGCCGGUGACAAGCCGGAGGAAGGUGGGGAUGACGUCAAGUCCUCAUGGCCCUUAUAGGUGGGGCUACACACGUCAUACAAUGGCUGGUACAAAGGGUUGCCAACCCGCGAGGGGGAGCCAAUCCCAUAAAGCCAGUCGUAGUCCGGAUCGUAGUCUGCAACUCGACUACGUGAAGUCGGAAUCGCUAGUAAUCGUGGAUCAGAAUGUCACGGUGAAUACGUUCCCGGGUCUU